UUCUCUUUGCCAUCUGGCUUAGACCAAGUGUAGUACAUGUUCUUAUCAGUUUAAUCGCUGAUAGCCCUACCUUGUAGGGCGCCGAUUAAUCUAAUUUUUCGACUCGUGACUUGGCUCUUGCUUGCAUACGCCCUGUCGCACAGUGUCACUGGGCUUACACUGACCCCGGUUGACGCGAACUCAUU
rnacentral:snRNA from 1 species